AUUUGCCCUCAGCCUGGAGGCCACUCAGCCUUGAGGGACAUUUCCCGUCAGCCUGGAGGUCACUCGGCCUUGGGGGACAUUUCCCCUCAGCCUGGAGGCCGCUCGGCCUCGGGGACAUUUCUCCAAGCCUUGAGGCUGCUGAGCCCCAGUGCGGCCGCUCGGCCUCAGCGGGGUCGCGGCUCCGCGGGGACUCGGUCCUGCCCUGAGGGGAGCCCCGUCACCCCAAGGACCGACACCAAGCUCCAAGAAAAGUAGGAAUUCUGCCUAGACACGAACACGCGAGGCCCGGGGCCCCUCUCACACACCACACUACGCGGGGACAGCGCGAGGGGCAGCGUAGAAAACUACAUUCAGUUUGCGGCCGGGAGCCGAGCGGGAGCCACGCUGGGGCGGCCGCGGCCUCGAGCCCACCAACUCGGUUACUCGAAUGUUGCUGUUUAACAGUACAAAAAGCCCAAAGAACUGUGGAUGCCACUGAUAUGCCGAGAGGCGCCGGGCUCCGGCGGCUGACGGCCGGGGGAGGCUCCGGCUGCCCGGAGGAAGGGCGGCCCCGCCGGGGUGGAGCUCGCACCCGGCCCCGCCGCUUCCCCCCAGCCCUGCGGCAGCUCAGCCCCUCCAGAGCGCCGCUCCGAGCCCUGAGCUCUGCGAAGGCCUUUGCCGAGCAUCUUGCCCGGAGCCAGCCACCAGCCUGGCCCCGCUCAGCCCCUGCCCAGCCCACAGUGCCCCCAGUGCGGCCAAAGCCAGGACCCCUGGCGCCAGCUCGGGACAGGAACGUGUACAUUCAACUUGCAUCUCAUUCAGAGCUCAGCUCCUGUUUCCCCCCGGAUUCGCUGCCUCCACCCCUCGAUGGAGCCACUGGCGCCCGCAGCCCCUUCCCCAGCAGCGUUAAGGUCUCAGCACUACCCAGCUCAUCCCACCUCUCCAGACAGGAAACUAAAGUCAUUCCCACCACACACGGCUCCUUCCCAGCCUAGCAAUAUGUACAGCCGCUUUCUCAAAAUAAA